rnacentral:tRNA from 1 species
GGGCGUAUAGCUCAGUUGGCUAGAGCGCACGCUUCACACGCGUGAGGUCACAGGUUCGAGCCCUGUUACGCCCACCA